rnacentral:lncRNA from 1 species
GAAGUCAGCUCCUUACUUCUCUUCAGUAAGCCAGAAUCCACGCCGCCGUCUCGCUCCCAUCCACCCACCAUCUCCGCCCCGGCGCCGCCUUCCCCAGCCGCUCCCCGCCGCCUGCUCCCACGGCAGCUCCACCCUGCCGCUCCCGCGACGCCUUUUACGUGACCACAACCAUUGCCGUCUGGUAGGCGGCAGCCUCCUCUACGGCUCUACAUCUCUACUAUUUCUCUAAGGCCCCGUUUGAAUCAUUGGAAUUGAAUUCCAUCCUAAUAAUCAUAAUUUAGACACAAAUUAAUUAAGCUAAUAUAAUUGUAUGUGAAAUAUAGUUGUAUAUUAUAGUUGUUGAUAUGGGAGAGAUACUUAUAUGCUGCACUUCUACUCUAGAGAAGCGAGUCCAAGAGCGUGCUAUAAGAAUUGAAUUCCAUUCUAAUAACUAUAAUCUAUAGAAUCAAUUUUCAUCUCCCACCCCAUGAAUUUAAGAUAGGCUUAUAUCUAAACUUUGGAAAGUUGUGGAAUGUCACAUUCCAACAUAAAUUAGCUUACUCCAUUAAAUAGAUUCCAAUUCCUUCAAAAUGAAGGAACCAAACGGGACCUAAAUAAAAUUUAUAAAAUCAGGUGGGCUCCCCGCACGUCCGCGCACCGAAGCCUUGCCCGUUGCGCCCUCAAAAGUCAAAACCCUAUGCUUGCCGCCGCCUGGAGGCUGUCGCAGCGAGCCGUCGCGUCUCCUCUCCUUGC